rnacentral:rRNA from 1 species
UACAGAGGGUGCAAGCGUUAAUCGGAAUUACUGGGCGUAAAGCGCGCGUAGGUGGUUUGUUAAGUUGGAUGUGAAAUCCCCGGGCUCAACCUGGGAACUGCAUCCAAAACUGGCAAGCUAGAGUAUGGUAGAGGGUGGUGGAAUUUCCUGUGUAGCGGUGAAAUGCGUAGAUAUAGGAAGGAACACCAGUGGCGAAGGCGACCACCUGGACUGAUACUGACACUGAGGUGCGAAGGCCAGGGGAGCAAACAGG